GUCGAAGUCGGAGUCCCACCUGUGUCCCCACAGCCCUGUCACGAAUCCCGAUCGGGUUCUGGGAGGCACCGCCUCGGGGUUGCGGGCCAGGUACGGCUCGGCGGUGGAGGACUCACUUCCUGCUCCAUCCCUGGCUGGGCCUUGGGGCGGAACUGAUGACCCUUGAUAAUGUGGCUGGGGACUUCAGGGAAGAGUGGGUUACCUGGACACUGCUUAGAGAAUCCUCUUCAGGAAUGCCACCCAGCACAUUUAGAAGAACAGGCUCUCAAAGGAAUUUCCAGGCCUAGUGUAAUCUCCCAGCUGGAGCAGAAAGAAGAGCCAUGGGUCCUACCACUCCAAAACUUUGAGGCGAGGAAGAUCCUGAGGGAAAGCCACACAGACUUUGAGCAUCAGGUGGCGAAGCUCAAUCAGGACAUUUCUGAAACGGCAGAACAAUGUGGAACAUCCUCAGAAAGGACCAAUAAAGAUCUUUCUCAUACUCUUAGUUGGGGAGGAAACUGGGAGCGAGGCCUAGAAUUAGAAGGGCAACAUGGAACCCUUCCAGGAGAGGGCCGGCUGGAGCCCUUUUCACAGGAGAGGGAUUUAAACAAGCUCCUGGAUGGCUAUGUAGGAGAGAAGCCUAUGUGUGCAGAAUGCGGGAAAAGCUUUAACCAGAGUUCCUAUCUCAUAAGACACCUAAGAACCCACACUGGCGAGAGGCCCUAUACGUGCAUUGAGUGUGGGAAAGGCUUCAAACAGAGCUCAGACCUUGUCACCCAUCGCAGAACACACACAGGAGAGAAGCCCUACCAAUGCAAGGGGUGUGAGAAAAAAUUCAGUGACAGCUCAACACUCAUCAAACAUCAGAGAACCCACACAGGGGAGAGACCCUAUGAGUGCCCAGAGUGUGGGAAGACUUUUGGGCGGAAGCCACACCUCAUAAUGCACCAAAGAACCCACACAGGCGAGAAGCCCUACACGUGCCUGGAAUGUCACAAAAGCUUCAGUCGAAGCUCAAAUUUCAUCACUCACCAGAGGACACACACAGGGGUGAAGCCUUAUAGGUGUAAUGACUGUGGGGAGAGUUUUAGCCAGAGCUCGGAUUUGAUUAAGCACCAACGAGCCCACACAGGAGAACGGCCCUUCAAAUGCCCGGAGUGCGGGAAGGGCUUCAGAGAUAGUUCUCAUUUUGUAGCUCACAUGAGUACUCAUUCAGGAGAAAGGCCUUUCAGUUGUCCUGACUGCCACAAAAGCUUCAGUCAGAGCUCACAUUUGGUCACGCACCAAAGAACACACACAGGUGAGAGACCUUUUAAGUGCGAAAACUGUGGGAAAGCAUUCGCCGACAGCUCCGCCCUCAUUAAGCACCAACGAAUCCACACAGGAGAAAGACCCUACAAAUGUGGGGAGUGUGGGAAGAGCUUCAAUCAGAGCUCCCACUUUAUUACCCAUCAACGAAUCCACUUAGGAGACAGGCCCUAUCGAUGUCCUGAGUGUGGCAAGACCUUCAAUCAGCGUUCCCAUUUCCUCACACACCAGAGAACGCAUACAGGAGAAAAACCUUUCCACUGUAGUAAAUGUAACAAGAGCUUCCGUCAGAAAGCGCAUCUUUUAUGCCAUCAAAACACCCAUUGAUUUAGGAAAUAGUCUUUAGUGUUCUGCUGCUCCCUUGCAAAUUUUCAUUGCUACUGUCUUCAAGCACCCCAAAUAGAGAAAACCCGGGCAUCAGUGGCUCAAUUUGGGCCCUUCUCCCUCUUUCUUGUCUAUGUUAUAACAGAGAGGAUAAACUUAAAGUGUCCAAAUAACGGUCCGAAUACAAAAGGCAUUCCUUCAGUGUGUGACUCUUAGGGAAAUGUGAGUUUAAUGGUUGAUGCUGGCCAGGCGUGGUGGCUCACACCGGUAAUCCCAGAACUUUUGGGAGGCCAAGGUGGGUGGAUCACUUGAGGUCAGGAGUUUGAGACCAGCCUGGCGAACAUGGUGAAGCCUUGUCUCUACUAAAAAUACAAAAAUUAGCUGGGCAUGAUGGCACAUGCCUGUAGUCCCAGCUACUCGGGAGGCCGAGGCAGAAGAAUCAUUUGAACCCGGAAGGUGCAGGUUGCAGUGAGCUGAGAUCAUGCCACUGCACUCCAGCCUGGGCAACAGAGUGAGACUCUAUCUAAAAAAAAAAAAAAAAAAAAAAAAGUUGAUGCCUAGUUACUAAAUGAGAAGUGAGAAAAAUGUGGCCUAGAGAUCACAUGUUAACCAGCUAGUACAGUGCCUGGCACAACAUAGAUGCUCACUAACUAAAUGGUCACAUCAUUAUUAAUGAUUAAUAUUUGAGGUCUUAUAUAAAGGCUUUAAUGCAGUACCUGGCCCUUAAAAGACACUCAAUACAAGACUGGUGGCUUUUAUCAGUCUUAUUACUCAAUUAGAAAUUUAUUAGUGUAGUCCCCCCACCCCAAACUCAGAACUUGAAAGAAAUUAGAUUGGAACUAGAAGGUUUGGGGUUGGAAUACACGAAUUGAAUAAAAUGGAAAUGACUCCCAGUUCAGUGCUGUGCAGGCAUUAGUCACCAGAUGUCUCACUGCCAUGACAAGGCCAAAUUAUUGUGGAGGAUGUUUGCGGUCUUGUGACUUGGAGGCUGAAAGAAUUUCAGAAGCUCUUUGAAAUGGCAGUGUAUGAGGUACUUUUACAGGAGGUUUGCUGUCAUCUGACACAGAGAAAAUAUCCUACAAUGAACAAGCCAGAGGGACCUGGUACAGGAUUGUAAAAUUGUGGAAGCAAAAUUGCUGAGAAUGUCAAAUGAUAUUACAGGGGUCCUCCCUGGCAUUUAGCUGAAGGAAGCAACUCUUGUUUUCUAAUUUGCUGGGUCAUUGACCAUUUAGUUUUAGGUUAAUAUAAUUCUCUGAUCCUUUUAGGGCCAUCCAGGUUAUGCACUAGCACUUUCCUACAUUCAAUUGAAAUAAAUUGAGGGAAGGCAGUGUGUUGGAAAGAACACAGACUUCACUGAGAAGGUAAGGUAUUUGAGUCCUGGCCCUGACGCUUAAUUUGGCCAGACUUUCAUCUUCUCCCUACCUCACAAGGUUGUUGUGAGGAUCUAAAAAUGCACACACACACACACACAUGCACUUUGUUGGUUAACUAUAAAUGUAAUAUCUCUAAUGUUAUAAUUCUGUUGCUAAUGUCUUUUUUCCAAGAAAAUUUUGGCUAAUAUUUCUUUAGGUAUUCCUUUUUCUCUCAUAGUGAGGGACUAAAAAAAAAACUGUUGAAAAAUUAGGGUGCAAAAAUGCUAAAUGACAUGACUGAUCAUUGGCCACAUAGUUGACAGAAGAGCCAGAUUUGGCUGCAAGUCACUAGAUUUCCAGCCUGCAGUCCUCCCCUGCAACAACAGACCAGCUCUGGGACUUGUUACAGUGCCUGUGAGACACUAUAGGACUGGAGGACCCAUAUUAUAUCCAUUAAACCAGUCUGAAUUUGGAAAUGAUGGAGGGGUGUAGUCUAAGUUGUAGGGAGCUUUGCAAGAUCCUGUGCUGGGGUCCUUGAUCCUGGUGGAAUGGGAGUGGAGGAGUAAGCACAGGUGCAAGGGGUUAAGGAGGGAGCUGGGUAGUUAUCACUUUUUAGAGAGCAAAGUGGUGGAUUAAAGGUUUUUUUUUUCUUUCAUUCUCUUCCAUUAUAUGGAAUGCCAUCUGAGUGCUGUGGCUCAUGAAGGAUAGAACUCAGCUGAUAACCUUACCUCCGUUUUUGAAAGCAUCGUUAGAUAAUUGACCAGAAAAUUUUUUUUAGUUAAUUCAGUGCAGUGGUUCUCAAACUGUCAGCCCAGUCCGGUAGCAUCAGCAUUAUCUGGGAACUUUUUAGAACUGCAGAUUCAGGCCGGGUGUGGUGGCUCACACCUGUAAUGCCAGCACUCUAGGAGGCCGAGGCGGGUGGGCCACCUGAGGUCGGGAGUUUGAGACCAGCCUGGCCAACAUGGCAAAACCCCACCUAUACUAAAAAUACAAAAAUUAUCCGGGUGUGGUGGCAUGUGCCUGUAAUCCCACCUACUUGGGAGGCUGAGGCAGGAGAAUCGCUUGAACCCGGAAAAUGGAGGCUGCAGUGAGCUGAGAUCACACCUGGUCUCGAACUGCUGAUCUCAGGUGAUCUGCCCACCUCAGCCUCCCAAAGUGCUGGGAUUACAGGCAUGAGCCACUGUGCCUGGCCACCUAUCAUUUUGUUUUUUUCAUGUUGUUCAGCUGUUGUAAGAUGUGAGCUUUUUUUCUGAGACGAAGUCUUGCUCUGUUGCCCAGGCUGGAGUGCAAUGGUGUGAUCUUGGCUCACGGCAACCUCCGCCUCCCAGGUUCAAGCAAUUCUCCUGCCUCAGCCUCCCAAGUAGCUGGGAUUACAGAUGCAUGCCACCAUGCCCAGCUAAUUUUAUAUGUUAAGUAGAGAUGGGGUUUCACCAUGUUGGCCAGGUGGGUCUUGAACUCCUGACCUCAGGUGAUCCACCUGCCUUGGCCUCCCAAAAUGCUGGGAUUACAGGCGAGAGCCACUGCACCUGGCCACCUAUCACUUUGAUUUUCAUGUUGUUCAGCUAUGGUAAAAUGUGAGCUCUCGAAGUGCAAUGUGAGAUUUGCUUUGGGCCCUGCCAAUCCCCUCUCCUCCCUGUCUUCCUGCCCACCACCCCCCAGCCCUCCCCAGCCAUGAUCAGGGAAUAUUUCAGUGCUAUUGCUGAGAGUGGAGGUAACCCUUUCAAUAGUUUUCUUUUGUUUUUACCUCAUGACUAGAUGAUUUGCUGCUUGAACAUGCUCCACACGUCCGUUCUUUCUCACUCCAAAAUUGAGGUCAUCACCAAGCCCCAUUAAUUUUACCUCCCAGAUUCCUCUCGAACCUGUCUGUCAAACCUGUCCGUCUUCACUGCCACUCUUCAAUCCCAAAUGACCAGUCUCUUACCUGAAUUCCUGUAGCAGCCUCCAAACUGAUCUUCCUGAUAUUAUUUUUGCUCUGAAAAAACUCUAGUUUCACUCACAGAAACCAGAGUGAACUUUUAAAAUCCUAAAUCAAAUCACAUCACUUCUCAGCAGCUUUCCAUUGCUUUAAGAAUGAAGACCCAAAUCCUUACCCAGGCCUAAGAGGCCCUUGUGGUUUUGUCCCCUCCCCCUCCAGCCUCUUGUGAUGUCCCCUUCCCUCUCCCUUGCCUCACCUCAGCACUCUUGAGUUCUCUGCUCCUUGGUCAUGCCAACGUUGUGCGCUCUUUAGACCCUUGGUACUAACUGUUCCCUCUUCCCAGAAUGUUCCUCGCCCAGCCCUUGCAUUGCCUCCUAUUUGUCAACCAGGUUUCAGCCUAAACCUAUCUCCUUAGGAAGACUUUCCCUAACUAUCCCAUCUAAAUUAGUCACCCUCCACCACAUUAUCCUCUUUUUUCAUCAAAGUCCUUACACCUGUCUGAUAAUUUCUUAUUAAUUGAUUUGUUUUGGGUAAACUCCAUGAAAGGUGGGAGUCAUUUCUCUUGUUUCCAUUCUUUCCACGGCACUUAGAACGGUGCUUGGCACAUGGUAGGUGCUCAAUAUGUGUUGACUGGAUGAAUUAAUGAGUGCGUGCUCAUGGGCAAGGAUCUCAUUGUGCUAGAAAAGUAGCAGAGUGAGACAAAACUGGACAGAUGAGUGAAGGUCACACCAAGAAGGUUCUUAGCUGCCAAACUAAAGAGUUUGGAUCUCACUCUCUGGAGAAAAGAGUGUAGCUAGUGGCUUUAUAGGAGAGGAGAGGUGUGAUCAGCACUUGAGAAGGUCGAUUUGGCCGCUGUGUGUAGGUCAUAUUACGGAGAAAAAAACUAGAGGCUUUGAGACAAUCCGUGAUGUAAAGGGCUUAGCACAGUGCCCAGCAUGCAGUAGGUCUCCAGCGAGUUGUUAUCACCAAGCACCAGGGCAGGCACCACAACAAAAAGAUAAGAUCCCUAACCCUUCUUUUACCUUGAAAUAAUUCCUCCUAGACCUUAUCAUCGCAUUCCUUCUCUUCCCCUUUUGUCAAACUUCCACUCACAUGUAGAUAUUCUCAGGGUUAUCAUGCCUAGGCCUUUUUAAUAGGGCCACUUACCCUAGCAUGCUUCUACAACUGGACCCUCAAAGGUCUUUUAGUGCUGAGUGUGGUGGCUCACACCUGUAAUGCCAGCACUUUGGGAGGCUGAAGCCAGAGUAUUGCUUGAGCCCAGAGGUUCAAGACCAGCCUGGGCACCACAGCCAGACCCUGUCUCUACAAAAAAUAGUUUUAACAAAUUAGCCAGGCAUGGCGAUGUGCGCCUGUCAUCCCAAGUACUUGGGAGGCUGAGGUGGGAGGAUUGCAGAUUGCCUGAGCCCAGGAGUUCAAGGCUGCACUGAGCUGUAAUCAUACCACUGUACUCCAGAUUAUGUGACAGAGCUAGAACUUGUCUCUUAAAAAAAAAAAAAGACUUAAUUUCCAUAUCUGAAGACCUCUUGUUAGUCUUCUUCUGAUUCAACAACUCUUUACUGUUUGAUGCCAUUUACAUAUGUUUAUUAUUUUUUAGAGACAGGGUCUCACUCUUUUGCUGAUGCUGGAGUGCAGUGGUGCAAUCAUGGCUCACUGCAGCCUCAACCUCCCAGACUCAAGCAAUCCUCCUGUCUCAGCCUCUCUGAGUAACAGCUAGGACUACAGGCACAUGCUCCCAAGCCUGGCCUUUUAAAAUUUUUGGUAGAGGCCAAGUGUGGUGGCUCAUGCUUGUAAUCCCAGCACUUUAGGAGGCCAAGGACGGUAGAUCACUUGAGGUCAGGAGUUUGAGACCAGCAUGGCUAACAUGGUGAAACCCCAUCUCUAGUAAAAGUACAAAAAUUAGCCAGGCGUGGUGGUGGGUGCCUGUAAUCCCAGCUACUUGGGAGGCUGAGGCAGGAGAAUCACUUGAACCUGGGAGGCGGAGGUUGCAGUGAGCUGAGAUUGUGUCAUUGCAUUCCAGCCUGGGUGACAAGAGCGAAACUCCAUCUCCAAUAAUAAUAAUAAUAAUAAUUUUGGUAGAGACAGGGUCCCCCUAUGUUGCCCAGGCUGGUCUUGAACUCCUGACCUCAAGCAACUCUCCCACCUUGGCCACCCAAAGCACUGGGAUUACAGGUGUGAGCUACUGCACCAGGCCCAUAUGCCUUUUUAAAAAAAUUAUCUUUUCCAUUGGUGAUUAUGAGGUUGUGAGAUGAUUCUCCCACAUUUCUGGCUGCUCCUCUUCAAGUACCUUCCCUGGCUCCUCUGGUUUUUGUUUUGUUUUGUUUUGUUUUUGAGACAAAGUCUUGCUUUGUUGCCCAGGCUGGAGCACAGUGGCACAAUCUCGGCUCACCAGCUCACUGCAACCUCCACCUCCCAGGUUCAAGGGACUCUGGUGCCUCAGCCUCCAGAGUAGCUGGGACUACAGGUCCAGCUAAUUUUCGUACUUUUGGUAGAGAUGGGGGUUUCACCAGGCUGGUCUUGAACUCCUGCCUCAGGUGAUCUGCCCGCCUCAGCCUCCCAAAGUGCUGGGAUUCUAGGCGUGAGCCACCGCGCCUGGCCUGGCUCCUCUUCUUCUUCUACUCAGAUAUGCCUGACCCCGUCAACACUCUGGUUGAGGUCUUCUUUCUUCUUUCUUUUUUGUUCUGCACAUUAAGCUUAUGACUUCAACCAUCAUUUCACCCUCUCUCCUGAAUUUUAGACCUACAAGUCUAGCUACUUGGUGGAGACCUCCCCAGGAUGACCUGCUGCUUCCCAAACCCAGACUCUCCAAAUUACAGUCAGUAUCUCCCCCAGAAGCAUUCCCCCAGGCAUUUCUCUUUCUGCCUUCAAGUCCCCAUUCUCCUUCAUUGCCUUGCUAGAAGCCUCCUGGUCAGCUUGGAUUUCUUUUUGUCCCUUUUUUUCUAUAUUUUGCUGGUGCCUAGUCACAUAGUUGCUGCCUCUACACUUUCUCUUCUUUAAAAAAAAUUAUAAAAGCACCACGUGCUUGUUGUAAAAUUUCCAGAAAAUACAGAAGUGCUCAAAGUGAAAAAAUGGAAAUGCCUUGUCCCUUCCUCAUUCCCUUCCCUAACCUCACUCCCCAGAUUCAGCUCUGUAAUAGUCUGGCAUGCCAAGUCUUAUUUCCAGCUCCUCUUUUCCAUCCCCACUGCCAUCGUCUGAACUAAACGGAUUGUUUUCCAUCUGGUCUCCUUGGCUUUUCCUUUCAGUGCAGCUCAACAGACAUUAAUCAAGUGCCUUCCACACACCAAAGUCCUACCCUAGAUCCUAGAAGUUCAAAGACAAGUAAGAUAGUUAAAGAGAUCCACAUUCCAGAGCUGUUUAACUUUGGGCAAGUUACUUAAUCUCUCUGACCCUUACUUCCUUAUCUGUAAAAUGAUGCUAAUCCUAGCACCUUCUUCAUGGGUUUGGACGAGGAUUAAUGAGAUGAUCCAUGUAAAACUCUUUGUACUAACUACCUGGUACAUUGUAUCUGCUCCAUAAAUAUCAGUGACAACAAUGACACUAAUGAUAAUCUUUGGAGGAGUUUAUAGUUUAAUGGAGAGACUUAAAGCAUAAGAAUUAUCUAGGUGAAGAAUGAUGAGAAAGUAUUUUUGGAAAAGGAAAACAAACAGUUUUACUAAAAUUAAAAGGCUGAUGUAGAGAGUUGGGAAACUGGGAGGUAAGAGCUCGGACUUUGUCCUCUAAGACGGUAAUUCCUGAAGUGUGAGCAAAAGUCCACCUGCAUCAGUCUUACUUGGGGUGAUGGCUCAAAAUGAGGAUUUAGUGGCUGCACCUCCGAGCAAGUUGGUAAUUUACAUAUCGGAAUGCUAUCCAUCAAGGAAAAUGGGCAGACUACAGUUACAUGCAUCAACACAGACAAGCUUCAAAUAAUAUUGAGUGUAAAAAGCAAGACAUAGAAAUAUAUAUAUUUAGUAAGAGAAAAAAUACAGUAAAGGUAAAAAAGAGGCAAAACUAAACAAUAUAUUGCUUAAGCAAUAAGGAUACACAAACUAAUGAAAAUCAAAGGAUUUACUAAUACAAACUUCAGUAUAGUAAUUAAUUGGAAUGGGAGAGAAAGAUGCAAAGUUUCUAUUUCUUUUUUUGUUUUGAUUUGUUCUGAGACAGUGUCUCAUUCUGUCGCCAAGGCAGGAGUGCAGUGGCACGAUCUCAGAUCACUGCAACCUCCGCCUCCUGGGUUCAAGUGAUUCUCCUGCCUCAGCCCCCCGAGUAGCUGGGAUUACAAGCGUGCACCACCACACCUAGCUAAUUUUUGUAAUUUUAGUAGAGAUGGAUUUUCACCAUUUUGGCCAGGCUGGUCUCGAACUCCUGGUCUUAAGUAAUCCACCCACCUCUGCCAUCAAAGUUUCUGUUUCUUAAGUUAGGUGCCAAGUACACAGGUUUUCUUUGUAAAAAUUAUUUAAAUUGUUAAUAUGCAUUACUUAUAUGCUUUUCAUUUACAAUGUAUUUCACAAGAAAAAUAAAAGAAAGCAAAUAAGAAAACAGAACACUUCUCCAGAGAUUGGCCUUUUUCACUCAAAUCUCAUUGAGUUAUACUGGGGGGAAAAAGAGUAAUCUGAGUGCCUGGGCCCUGAACAGACACUAGAUCAGUUCCUGCAUUCCCAGUCAAACACAUGCACACACACGCACACACACACAUUUUCUUAUAUUUCCUUCAGCAAACUCCCCCCGGCCCCCCUGCCGCCAACCAACCCCAAAACACCCUCUGCUCCUUUAUGUAUAUAAAUUAGAGCAAAUAAAUGUCCAGAAGAGUAUAGGCCAUCUUUCUAUAAACAGCCAAUCUUGGACCUGGUGUCUGAAUGGGGGAUGCCCUGCUGCAUUAAAAAUGCUCACGUGAACAUUUUGUUGUUCCCCAGAAAAAAAGUUUCCACAUUUUAGAUUAUUUUCACAGGGUGAGAACAAUUUUACACCUCCCUUACUUGCUGCAGAAUCUUUUUUUUUGUUUGUUUGUUUGUUUUGAGACAGGUCUUGCUCUGUCACUCGAGCUGGAGCGCGGUCUCGGCUCACUGCAACCUCCACCUCCCGGGUUCAAGCGAUUCUCCUGCCUCAGCCUCUCGAGUAGCUGGGAUUACAGUAAAUCUUGCUGCUGCUCACUCUGGGUCCACACUACCUUUAUGAGCUGUAACACUCAAUGCGAGGGUCUGCGGCUGCAUUCCUGAAGUAAGCAAGACCACGAACCCACCGAGAGGAACAGAUGACUCCAGAUGAGCCACCUUUAAGAGCUGUAACACUCACUGCGAAGGUCUGCAGCUUCACUCCUGAAGUCAGCAAGACCACAAACCCACUGGAAGGAAGAAACUCUGGACACAUCUGAACAUCUGAAGGAAGAAACUCCGGACACAUCAUCUUUAAGAGCUGUAACACUCACCGUGAAGGUCCGUGGUUUCAUUCUUGAAGUCAGCGAGACCAAGAACCCACCAAAAGGAAUAAAUUCCAGACACGGUAUUUACAGCCCAGUGUCCACCCAUUCCCCAUGUAGCAACCCCUGGUACCUGAGGAAAAAGGUCACAGCCUCUGCCAAUGGUGGGGCAUCUUUCCAAAGAGGUUCCACUUGGACUUUUUGAAACAUCAUGUGGCUGUGCUGUUUGAGAAGCCUGGGGUGAAGUUAACUAUACAAGAAUCAGGGCAUGAUCACACACGCACACACCUUUGUGAUUUUUCUGGCUUUGUUUACACUGUUACUGCAACUUGUGCCCUUUCUCACCCUUCCCACAGGUCUUCCCUGCAAAGUCUUUUUUUUUUUUUUUUUUUUUUUUGAGACGGAGUCUCGCUCUGUCGCCCAGGCUGGAGUGCAGUGGCGUGAUCUCGGCUCACUGCAAGUUCCGCCUCCUGGGUUCACGCCAUUCUCCCGCCUCAGCCUCCCGAGUAGCUGGGACUACAGGCACCUGCUACCUGGCGUGGCUAAUUUGUGUAUUUUUAAGAGAGACGGGUUUCACCGUGUUAACCAGGAUGGUCUCCAUCUCCUGACCUCAUGAUCUGCACGCCUCAGCCUCCCAAAGUGUUAGGAUUACAGGCGUGAGCCACCACACCCAGCCCAUCAACUGUUCUCUUAUCUGUGCUCCUAGAUCUCUGUCUUGAUGUCUGAAAGCUUCUUGAGAGUGCUUUGUCAAGUCUGUGUCCAUCACAUUCCUUGGUGGAUGUGGCCUCACAAAUCUUUCAACUCAGCCCUCUAGGUCCUCAUGUGCAUUAGUGGAGAAUAGUGUUCACAUAUGUGGGCUUUGGGUCCAAUGCAGUUUGAAUCCUGAGUAUGUCACUAACUAGUUGUGUAAUCUUUGGACCAUUGUUAACCUUUCUGAUUUCAGUUUCCUCAUCCUUAAAUUGAAAAUUCUAGUAGUUCCUACCUCAUAAGAUUGUUGUGAAGGUCAAAUGAGAUCAAAUACUUAAAACUGGACCUAAAGGGCACUCAUUAUGAGUUAGCUGUUGUUACUAGUAACCCAUUGUCAUCCCUGUAGAAGUUUCAGGGGUUUGCCGUGGGGAACCCUGCCAUGCAGGCUUGUCUUGGGUUCUAACCCUGUGAUGGGGUCUGGUGUUCUAUGCCUCAUUUUCCGCUCUUUCCCCAUACUUUGGUCUGACUCUCCAAUGAGCUCAUGAUUCCUAUGAGCUAUUUCUGUCUCUUGAUGGGUCCUUAGAUUUGUCCUUUGUCUUAGGCCUUGAGACUGCAGUAGAACCUUGUGGCCUAUUCUAACCCCAGCCCGGAAACCAAUGCCCCAACUCCAUUCUGGGCUGACUUCCUGGCUUCCUCCCACAACUCCCGGGUCUCUGUUUUUAUAUAUUGUUCCUAGACUAGGAGAUGGUGUUCACAAAUGUUUGUUGAAAGGUUUUCAGAGGCAAUUAGGCAUAUUUAAGAAGUGAAUGAACACCUUCUCAUUGAUAUGUUGUCCAUAAACUAGGACAUGGUGUUGAAUGAUUAUUUGACAGAGAUUUUAGAAUUAGAGAGAUGGAGGCUUGAUCCUAACUCUGAAUCUUAUGGCCUUAAGCAGAAUAUCUAACCUCUUUGUGCUUGUUUUCUCAUUUGUAAAAUGAGGAUAAUUAUAUUUCCUCAUAGAGUUAUUGUGAAGAUUAAAUGAGACAAUAUAAAUAAAGCACCUAGCAUUUUC